rnacentral:tRNA from 1 species
GUGGGGUUGUGGCUCAGUGAUAGAGUGCUUGCCUAGCAUGUGCGAGGCACUGGGUUCGAUUUUCAGCACCACA